rnacentral:rRNA from 1 species
UACGUAGGGUGCGAGCGUUGUCCGGAAUUACUGGGCGUAAAGAGCUCGUAGGUGGUUUGUCGCGUUGUUCGUGAAAACUCACAACUCAAUUGUGGGCGUGCGGGCGAUACGGGCAGACUGGAGUACUGCAGGGGAGACUGGAAUUCCUGGUGUAGCGGUGGAAUGCGCAGAUAUCAGGAGGAACACCAGUGGCGAAGGCAGCCCCCUGGGCUAGCACUGACCGCUCAGGCACGAAAGCGUGGGGAGCAAACAGG